CCUGACUUCCGCUUUCGUGAGAGGCGUUCUCUCAGAGAGCUGCCCUUCUCUUGGGCAGAGAGGCUCGGCGGCCCGCGCUCUGUGGUCGGGGCUCUGGAGCUGCGGCAAGGCGCUGCUGGAGGGCUGUUCCUGAGCGGUGCCCUCGGCCCACAGAACACACUGGCCCAGGCAGUGACAGGAACCAAGGCCUGAGGGCCCCCAUCCCCAGCUGCUGCCUACCCUCAUCCGGCUGUCCCCCAGAAAGUCAUCAUGAUGCCUUUUGGUCAGAAGAGUGUCCCUGGCAAGCUUGAGGGAGACAGUCAGGCCCAAGAAGAGGCUGCUGGGUUUCCCACGCUUGGAGAAGGGGAGGCCCCUGCUGCAGCUUCCUCCUCUUGCUCCGCUCUGGUAGCAGCAGCCCACGAGGAGGAGCUUGCUGCUGGGUCCAGGAGUCCUCCCGGGAGUCCCCGCAGAGCCUCCUCCCCCGCUGCCAGCUCACCUGCACUC